GGGAGCAGAGAGUCAAUAAUCAAAGCAAAGGUAGCAAUCGUAGCAAUAACAUCAACUAAAUGAUUCCCUAUAACUUCUAUCAUUAGUUCAUGGCAUAGUCACUGUAUCAGUGUGACGGUAACAAUGAGGAAAUGAUCCUUUAGUGAGGCAAGGAAAGGAUUUGUAAAGGCUUUUUUUGUUUUGAUAGACUUCCAGCUCAUUAAUUAACUUCCUGUUUUGCAAGAGUAAAAUUAAUAACAAUCCAUUUUUAAAAUGUAGGCUAAUUCCAGAAGACUGUCCCAAACAGUUUAUAAUACCUGAAUUUGUUAUUAUAACAUAAAUUAAGAGGCAUGUCUCAAUAAAGUUUUGUAUUUCCAGGAAAUCUACUACUCGUAAGAGUGGCAGUCACAAAUACAUACCUUGUGGGAUUUUCUUCCUGAUGGGGUGAUGGCUAGGUUUGAAAACUUGAGUUCUAGAGGGGUGUGGGUUUCCUUACCUCAUCCUAAGGAAAGCACCAAUAUUAGUUGAGUUCUUACUUCUGAAAAGUCAUAAAGAGUUACAAUUAUUUAAGGAUAUAAUAUCUACCUACUUUGAAAUAAGGUUGGGAUCAAAUGAGAAAGAGGGAGGAAGCCUGAAGGUUUUAUCUAACAAGCAUGUCCAAAUACUCUAGAAAAUAUCACUGUGUUGCCUUCUCUAAUCUGCUAAUAGGAAAGUAGCAUGUUGUCCAUAAGGCAUGCAUCUGUUAGCUAGUGGAAGAAAAAUUUAGCCCUGAGAGAAAUGAACAAAAAGAAAUAAUUUUAUUCCACAAUCAGAGAGCAGAUUUUCAGUUCUUAGAAGGAGUAGGAAAAUCGUACUGACCUCCAUUAUGAGAUACAUCACAGCUAAGCUUAAAGCAGGGCUUCGCCAGCCAGGCCAAGCUCCUCUUAGAUGAGUUUUUUCCAGGGGCAAAGAAAGAAAAACUUGAGUUGUGAUAAUGGUCAGGUUUAUGAGGUCAACUUGAUAUAUAUUUAUUUAAUUUUUAUAGAUUAACUGGGUGCAUGUACAGUUGUUUUACAUGGAUACAUUGUAUAGUGGUGAAGUCUGGGCUUUUAGUGUACCUGUCACCCAAAGAGUGAACAUUGUACCCAAUAGGUGGCAUUUCAUUCCUCGUGCCCCUUCCACCCUCCCACCUUUUGGAGUCUCCAGUGUCUGUUAUUCCACUCUGUAUGUCCAUGUGUACCCAUUGUUUAGCUCCUACUUAGAAGUGAGAAGAUGUGUUUUUUGACUUUCUGUUUAUGUCAUUUCACUUAGGAUAAUGACCUCCAGUUCCAUCCAGUUGCUGCAAAAGUCAUGAUUUUACUCUUUUUAGUGGCUGUAUAGUAUUCCAUGGCAUCUAUGUAUUACAUUUUCUUUAUCCAGUCUGCUACUGAUGGGCAUUUAGGUUGAUUCUAUACCUUUGCUAUUGUGAAUGGUGCUGCAGUGAACAUACACACACAUUUGUUUUUAUGAUAGAACGAUUUAUAUUCCUUUGGGUAUAUAUCCAGAAAUGGGAUUGCUGGAUCAAAUGGUAGUUCUAUUUUUAGCUCUUUGAGGGAUUGCCACACUGCUUUCCACAAUGUUUGAACUAAUUUAGACUCCUGCCAGCAGUGUAUGAAAGCGUUCCCUUUUCUCUGCAACCUCACAGGCGUCUGUUAUUUUUUGACUUUUUGAUAAUAGCCAUUCUAACUGGUGUAAGAUGGUACUCUUGUGAUUUUAAUUUGCAUUUCUCUGAUGAUUAGUUGUGUUGAGCAUUUUUUUCAUAUGUCUGUUGGCUGCUUAUAUAUCUUCUUUUGAAAAAUGUAUUGAGAGCACCAGUGGGGUCAGCAGUUUGUGCAUGUUUGACUGAGAAUUUUAUGUUAUCAGAAGUGUACAGGAAGUCAGAGUCCAGAGGGUGAAGGCCAAAGCACAUCAUCACAAAUGGGGCCAAAACACAUCAUCCCAACCCUGGGAAUCCAAGCAAAGGCCAGAAAUAAGCUUACUAAUUGAAGAGGUGGGUGAGAAUCUGAAAUCAAGGACAUCAAGACAGUAAACCAUGCCCAUGCUUCAAAAUGUAAAACUGAAGAGAAAUUUGUUUGAUUUAUAUUCACAAUAGAUCUACUUCUGUUCCAACUGAGGGGAGGGCAGAGAGCUGGGACUGCAGGCAGGUUCUCACUCAGGGACGUCAACUGCCUGCAAGCUCAUGAGCAACUCAUCUGCUAAACCACUGCCUGGUCACUAAGAUCAGUUGCUGAGAAUAAAAUGACUGAAAUAAGCAACCAGUGUUAGCCCCUUUAUUCAUGGACUCCACAAACAUCUGCUUAGGGUCAUAGUAAGGAAAAUGCAUUAAAAUAAUAUGUUUUCAAAAAGUCUACUCACUAGGAAAGCAGCCUAGUCAUGGGCAUCCCCCCUAAAUCUCUUUGUGAUGAUGCGCCAAGGACAGAGCUGUGGGCUUGUUACUGAAGGUGGAAUCUGCAAACCCAAACUGUCAGCAUCUCUUGGAAGCUUCUCAGACGUGCAGAAUCUCAGGCCCACCCUAGCCCUGCCAAAUUGCCACCAGCAUUGUAGCAAGAUGCCCAGGUGAUUAGUAUGCACAUUAGAGUUUGAAAAGCAUGGAGCAACUACUGCUGCUACAGAGGAGGGAAAUUUCAGCUCAAAUGGUCAGAAAGGCUAAUGUGAGCUGGACAUUUAUGGGAAAUAUGGUUGCUCCAGAUAUUUGUAACUGGCUUUCUCACCAAACACCUAGUAUGAGCUAGGUUAUAUAGCAAGUGUAGUAUAGCAAGGGUUGUUGCUUGGAAACUUAACAGUGAUAGGUGCAUACACACACACACACACACACACAAAUGAAUCUCCUUAUAGACAAUGCUUUAAGCAAAAUGUGAAAUGUUUUGAAUGGCAAAAGAAGUGAAAGAUUGAAGUCUUUAUUGAAAGUCCAUUAUUUGCUGGGUGUGGUGGCUCACACCUGUAAUCCCAGCACUUUGGGAGGACACGCUGGGCGGAUCAUGAGGUCAAGAGAUCGAGACCAUCCUGGCCAACAUGGUGAAACCUCAUCUCUACUCAAAAUACAAGAAUUAGCUGGGCAUGGUGGUACGCACCUGUAGUCCCAGCUACUCUGGAGGCUAAGGCAAGAGAAUUGCUUGAACCUGAAGGUGGAGGUUGCAGUGAGCCGAGAUCAUGCCACUGUACUCCAGCCUGGUGACAGAGCUUCAUCUCACACACACACACAAAAAGUCCAUUAUUUUAUGGUUUUAUGUUGCAGAACCAAUCUCUAAGAAGAUAAUUAAGCACAUUGACUGCCUACCUCUCACAGUUUUAUGCAGUACUCAGACCUUAUGUCAUUUGGGCUUUAGGACUGGAGUCAUCAAAGUGGACAGGAGGUGGUGAGAGAGGGACCAGGCCUUCACAACAGUGGUGGAUGCUGAGGGAACCAUUGGCUUCAGAGUAACCAGACACCAAGAAUAGAGAGUGAAGAGCUCUGACCAAGACAUGAUAGUGGUUGUCUUUGCUCAGAGAAGUGGAGUGGGCUGGUUCUGGGCUUAUUUUUAUAUUUUUCUGAAAAAGAAGUAGUGAGGGUGGACAAAGUUUGUGUAUGCUGGCUGGAUGGAAGGGAUAGUGGAGAGCGAGGCUGGGUUUCUGAACAUUCCUCUGCCUUAGCUUUUAAUCUCCUAGACUGAAGAGCCUCUGUAUCUACACGGAGAAAGAACUGAGAUAGGAACUGAGGAAAAUUGAACUGGGACUCCAGGUGUGAAGGACUAAUCCCCAGCCAGGAGUUAGCUGCAUAUUUAAAUAAAACAAUACAGAAAGAGUUCUGGUGAACAACCUGCUCCCUGCACUUCCCCUCCUCACAGUGACCCCUGAGGCCCACAAGGCACAGGUUUACUGUAAGGAGAAAUAGGAUGGCUCAGUUUGAUGGCAUGCUUCACCAUUUGUCUUCCUACGUGAGAAAUGUAACGUUCAACAAUAUGACAAGACAUGUCAGUGUCUAUAGUUUAGAAUAAAGGGAUAAUGAGAAUGAUGCCUUAUAAAAUGCAUAUUUGUGUAGACAUGUUAUUGAUUUCCUUAUUUCACAUUAAACAAGAUAGAAAUGGAUGACCUUCCCAGAAAUGCCUCUUUUCAAAGUAAUAGUUUUCUGAUUUCCCUUUCAUGUAAGAGCUGGUGUUGCUAUGCUGUCACUUUUCUUGCUAGGGUUCCCUCCCCCAUCUAUGUGCUGGGAGGUGAUUUUUUGGUUCAGUGUUCUUAAAUGUUUCCAUGGAGAGUUACUAAGGUAAUUUUUUUAAGUCUCCUCUUUCAGUAGGUGUGGUCACCCCACAUGGCUUUCCAUAUGCUUGCUACUACCCACCUGUGUCCGCUGAGCACUUGAAAUGGGCUGGUCCCUAUUGAGAUGUGUUCUAAGUGUCAAAUACCCAAGGGAUCUUAAAAGACUUGAUGUGAAGAAAAAAGAUAAUAUCUAUCGUAUUAUUUUUAUUCUGAUUUCACGUUGAACCAAUAAUGUUUUGGAUAUACCAGGUUAAAUAAAAAAUAUAUGAUAAAAGUUAAUUUUACUGGUUGUUUUUUACUUUAUAAAUAUGGCUACCAGAAAAUUAGAAUUGUGUAUGUGGCUUGCAUUAUUCUAUUCUAUUGGACAUUGCUGAGCUAGAUGAUGUCAGAUCUUUUUGAGGAGUGAGAAGAGGGAAAUCCAAAGUGAAAUAUUUCAAAAUACUAGAUAAGAAUUUACUAGAAGUUACCAGGGAAAGGGCAGUGAGUUAUUUUGCUGCUGAGGCAGGUUUACUUAAUGGAUUUUGCAAAUAAGAUUAGCUGCUGGUAAAAAUGGACUCUUUAGGAGACAAAAUCCCUAAUAUGAGUAAAGCUCAUUGCCUUCCCUGCUUCCUGCCUUGCUUAAGGCCGAGCAACAUGCUGUGCUUAUUUGGUGGAUUAAUAAAUAGUACUUGAUGAUGAUGAUAAGGAGUAAAUCUUUGUAAGUGCCAUUGUAGCUUGCCAUGCACAUUCAUUCUGUUAAACCAUCCGAUCUUCUCAUCAGGCUCCCAGGGUAGGUAUUAUUGCUAUUCUCAUCUGAGGAUGAACCAGCUGAGGUUCAGAGAGGGCAAGAGACUUGCUCAAGUGCACACAGCUACCAAGUAGCAAGUACCUGGGCUCACUUUCAUGACUUUUGUUUCCGAAUCUCAUGCUUUUCCCACUAUAUCUUACUAUUCCAAGGUUAAUCCAAGACUCACCUGGAGAAGCAUUUCUUGACCUUUCAGACUGUGCUAAAAAUGGUAAUGAGUUCAAUGUUACCAUAAUAUCAAUGAGAACUAAUUAAGACCAAUUAUGGGAUUUUCUGCUGACCACCAGGGUGACCACCAGCUGUUGGACUCAAAUUUGAGUCUUCACUUAGUGCUGUUAAAUUCUCAGCUAUAAAAUGUUGGGUGGGAGUGAAAUCAGAUCAUUUCCGGAUCUUUUCUAGUUCUGCAGUUCUAUGAAAACUGGCACCUAAACCGAGAAUAUCAAUUCUUUUUAUAUACCUUAUUGAAUAUCUGCGUGUGGACUGAUAUUCACAUUUUAUUGACCUGGGCUAGAUUUCUGAUAAACUAUUCCUGGGAUUGAUGUGUCACACAGAUUUCAAACACGGAGACUAUAGGUCAGUUUUAUCUAAAAUGUGUCAAAUUCAUUUGAUACCUACUGGUAAAAUACAUAUUAUUUCCAUUGGGAAAUGCGUAGUACUAAAGAAUGCUAAGUAUAUUCCAUUCCCAUGUGAAUAGUACAUCAUUAGCUUGUAUUUAUAUCCUCAUUUUGUAUGUAGUCAUGCUUUGCAUAUACUAGCAGCAUUCUACCCCACAUAUGUUCAUGAAUUAUGAAUUCUACUACAAGCAUUCAAGGCAAAGCUCCUCUGUCAGUCACAUCUCUCUCUCUCUGAGGCCACUAGGAUUUAUAUCUAUGUGACAUACUUCAAACUGACCUCCUAAGACCUAUCUCAGAGGACCAACUCUAACAGUCCAGCAUAGGCAAGUGCUAGAAGAUUCAUCACUCUCAAAUGCAUGCAAUUCAAAAUUUUCAGUAUCAGAUACAGCUAGUCUUUGUAUAAACAAUGCCAAACGUUCAUUUCUAAAAAUCAAAAGAAUUCCCUUGUUCCCGUUCAAAAGAUGCUUCUCAAAAGUGAAUAUGACUUGCG
rnacentral:lncRNA from 1 species